CAUCAUCUGGGCAAAGCCUGACCAGAGUGGACGGUGCCCUGGAGGCGCCUUCAGGUUCCAUUGAGGAACUCCCGGCAGGAGCUGGGAUGACGUUGGGGGCCUCAAAUUCAGCUGGAGGUGGCUACGUGGGUCAGGGCAACUGACACGGUUGCCGAGGCCUGCCGAAGCCUUCUGGAAAGGGCCCUCAAGAAGGAGGUCCAAAUAAAAUUUAGCCUCCUGGGCCGGAAAGGCAAGCUACCUUUCCGGGGGACCCUCCUCUGCCACAUUGUGACAGAGACCAUCAAGAGUGCGAAGGCUGCCAAUGUGCCAGAUGUCGAAAAGGCCAUUGGCAAGUACCUGGCCGGUGCUGUGGACCGGGA